GGGUUGUGAGGUUAAGCGACUAAGCGUACACGGUGGAUGCCCUGGCAGUCAGAGGCGAUGAAGGGCGUGCUAAUCUGCGAUAAGCGCCGGUAAGGUGAUAUGAACCGUUAUAACCGGCGAUACCCGAAUGGGGAAACCCAGUGUGAUUCGUCACACUAUCAUUAACUGAAUCCAUAGGUUAAUGAGGCGAACCGGGGGAACUGAAACAUCUAAGUACCCCGAGGAAAAGAAAUCAACCGAGAUUCCCCCAGUAGCGGCGAGCGAACGGGGAGGAGCCCAGAGCCUGAAUCAGCGUGUGUGUUAGUGGAAGCGUCUGGAAAGGCGCGCGAUACAGGGUGACAGCCCCGUACACAAAAGCGCAUGUGCUGUGAGCUCGAUGAGUAGGGCGGGACACGUGGUAUCCUGUCUGAAUAUGGGGGGACCAUCCUCCAAGGCUAAAUACUCCUGACUGACCGAUAGUGAACCAGUACCGUGAGGGAAAGGCGAAAAGAACCCCGGCGAGGGGAGUGAAAAAGAACCUGAAACCGUGUACGUACAAGCAGUGGGAGCACCCUUUGGGGUGUGACUGCGUACCUUUUGUAUAAUGGGUCAGCGACUUAUAUUCUGUAGCAAGGUUAACCGUAUAGGGGAGCCGCAGGGAAACCGAGUCUUAACCGGGCGUUAAGUUGCAGGGUAUAGACCCGAAACCCGGUGAUCUAGCCAUGGGCAGGUUGAAGGUUGGGUAACACUAACUGGAGGACCGAACCGACUAAUGUUGAAAAAUUAGCGGAUGAUCUGUGGCUGGGGGUGAAAGGCCAAUCAAACCGGGAGAUAGCUGGUUCUCCCCGAAAGCUAUUUAGGUAGCGCCUCGUGAACUCAUCUCCGGGGGUAGAGCACUGUUUCGGCUAGGGGGCCAUCCCGGCUUACCAACCCGAUGCAAACUGCGAAUACCGGAGAAUGUUAUCACGGGAGACACACGGCGGGUGCUAACGUCCGUCGUGAAGAGGGAAACAACCCAGACCGCCAGCUAAGGUCCCAAAGUCAUGGUUAAGUGGGAAACGAUGUGGGAAGGCCCAGACAGCCAGGAUGUUGGCUUAGAAGCAGCCAUCAUUUAAAGAAAGCGUAAUAGCUCACUGGUCGAGUCGGCCUGCGCGGAAGAUGUAACGGGGCUAAACCAUGCACCGAAGCUGCGGCAGCGACACUGUGUGUUGUUGGGUAGGGGAGCGUUCUGUAAGCCUGUGAAGGUGGCCUGUGAGGGUUGCUGGAGGUAUCAGAAGUGCGAAUGCUGACAUAAGUAACGAUAAAGCGGGUGAAAAGCCCGCUCGCCGGAAGACCAAGGGUUCCUGUCCAACGUUAAUCGGGGCAGGGUGAGUCGACCCCUAAGGCGAGGCCGAAAGGCGUAGUCGAUGGGAAACGGGUUAAUAUUCCCGUACUUGGUGUUACUGCGAAGGGGGGACGGAGAAGGCUAUGUUGGCCGGGCGACGGUUGUCCCGGUUUAAGCGUGUAGGCUGGUUUUCCAGGCAAAUCCGGAAAAUCAAGGCUGAGGCGUGACGACGAGGCACUACGGUGCUGAAGCAACAAAUGCCCUGCUUCCAGGAAAAGCCUCUAAGCAUCAGGUAACACGAAAUCGUACCCCAAACCGACACAGGUGGUCAGGUAGAGAAUACCAAGGCGCUUGAGAGAACUCGGGUGAAGGAACUAGGCAAAAUGGUGCCGUAACUUCGGGAGAAGGCACGCUGACACGUAGGUGAAGUGAUUUACUCAUGGAGCUGAAGUCAGUCGAAGAUACCAGCUGGCUGCAACUGUUUAUUAAAAACACAGCACUGUGCAAACACGAAAGUGGACGUAUACGGUGUGACGCCUGCCCGGUGCCGGAAGGUUAAUUGAUGGGGUCAGCGCAAGCGAAGCUCCUGAUCGAAGCCCCGGUAAACGGCGGCCGUAACUAUAACGGUCCUAAGGUAGCGAAAUUCCUUGUCGGGUAAGUUCCGACCUGCACGAAUGGCGUAAUGAUGGCCAGGCUGUCUCCACCCGAGACUCAGUGAAAUUGAACUCGCUGUGAAGAUGCAGUGUACCCGCGGCAAGACGGAAAGACCCCGUGAACCUUUACUAUAGCUUGACACUGAACAUUGAGCCUUGAUGUGUAGGAUAGGUGGGAGGCUUUGAAGUGUGGACGCCAGUCUGCAUGGAGCCGACCUUGAAAUACCACCCUUUAAUGUUUGAUGUUCUAACGUGGACCCGUAAUCCGGGUUGCGGACAGUGUCUGGUGGGUAGUUUGACUGGGGCGGUCUCCUCCUAAAGAGUAACGGAGGAGCACGAAGGUUGGCUAAUCCUGGUCGGACAUCAGGAGGUUAGUGCAAUGGCAUAAGCCAGCUUGACUGCGAGCGUGACGGCGCGAGCAGGUGCGAAAGCAGGUCAUAGUGAUCCGGUGGUUCUGAAUGGAAGGGCCAUCGCUCAACGGAUAAAAGGUACUCCGGGGAUAACAGGCUGAUACCGCCCAAGAGUUCAUAUCGACGGCGGUGUUUGGCACCUCGAUGUCGGCUCAUCACAUCCUGGGGCUGAAGUAGGUCCCAAGGGUAUGGCUGUUCGCCAUUUAAAGUGGUACGCGAGCUGGGUUUAGAACGUCGUGAGACAGUUCGGUCCCUAUCUGCCGUGGGCGCUGGAGAACUGAGGGGGGCUGCUCCUAGUACGAGAGGACCGGAGUGGACGCAUCACUGGUGUUCGGGUUGUCAUGCCAAUGGCACUGCCCGGUAGCUAAAUGCGGAAGAGAUAAGUGCUGAAAGCAUCUAAGCACGAAACUUGCCCCGAGAUGAGUUCUCCCUGAGACUUAGAGUCUCCUGAAGGAACGUUGAAGACGACGACGUUGAUAGGCCGGGUGUGUAAGCGCAGCGAUGCGUUGAGCUAACCGGUACUAAUGAACCGUGAGGCUUAACCUUACAACGCCAAAG
rnacentral:rRNA from 1 species